UGGUCAUUUACAUCAUUUCAAGAACUAGAGAAAGCUGAAAACCAGGUUCUGGCCAUGCGGAAGCAGUCUGAGGGCCUCACCAAGGAGUACGACCGCCUGCUGGAGGAGCACGCAAAGCUACAGGCUGCAGUAGAUGGUCCCAUGGACAAGAAGGCAGAGUAAGGGCCUCCUUCCUCCCCUGCCUGCAGCUGGCUUCCACCUGGCACGUGCCUGCUGCUUCCUGAGAGCCCAGCCUCUUCCUCCGGUACUUCUGUUUGUGCCCUUCUGCUUCCCCCAUUCCCUUCCACAGCUCAUAGCUCGUCAUCUCGGCCCGUCCACACUCUCCCAGCACAUUACAGGGGACCUGAUUGCUACACGUUCAGAAUGCAUUUGCUGUCAUCCUGUUUGGCUUGGCCUGGCCAGGCCUGGCGCAGCCCUGGCUUCCACGCCUGAGCGUGGAGGGCACGAGUUAGUUGUAGUCUGGCUUGCGGUGGGGCUGACUUCCUGUUGGUUUGAGCCCUUUUAGUUUUGCCCUCUGGGUGUUUUCUUUGGUCCCGCAGGAGGGUGGGUGGAGCAGGUGGACUGGAGUUUCUCUUGAGGGCAAUAAAUGUUGUCAUGGUGUGUA